UUGUGUGAUGCUGAGGAUACGAUUGAUCCCAUCACCCAGAAAUAGAGUGCUACCUCUCAGACAGCCUGCCCAACCCUGCCCUCUGAUCAGGACUUGGAAAUAGAAGAUGGACAAGUCUUUUGGUUGACGUAGUCCUUAACCAGGAGUGGAAAGCUAAGCUAAAAUGAAUUGCUCCAAAGUAUCUUCCUGUUCUACUGUCCACAUCUUGUAAAACGGUCCUAUUUUAAAAAAUGUAGAUAGUUAAGCCAUUACCCAAUACUCAUGUUGAGAGAGAGAGAGAGAGAGAGAGAGAGAGAGAUUUAGCUAGAAACCAUUAUAAAUUGUAUAUAAAUAAUGCAAAGGUAUGCUAUUACUGGACCUUUUUGUUUCCAGGCCCUUAUCCCAUUCAAGCAAAUGCUACAUUUCCAUUGUAACAUUCAAAAUGGUACAGAGCUAUCUACAGAAACAUGCCUCCCAUACACAUCUAAUUCCGUCUUCUAAGGUAACUAAGAUUGUCAAUUUAGUAUGUGUCCUUCCACAUAUUUUUCAUUUGGUGUGUAUGUGUGUUUGGGGUGCUUUAUUUAUGAUAUUGAGUUUCAAUAUUAUUAUGCAUGUUUCUUUUCCAGCUUUCACUUUUUUCUUCUUUUUGUAGUUUUUACUAAUGUCUGAAACAUGUCAGUACUAGAAUUCCUAGCAGGUAUUAUAUGUUUGAAAACUUUCUUCCUCCGUCAUUAAACACUAAUUGUGACAUAUUUCGCCCCACCUUGAAGCCCUUCAGUCAACUAGAAAAUCAAAUAGGAUUAUAAUCCCUUCACUUUAAAGAAUGCCAUUUCACACAAUAACAACUUGCAACACCCAGACAAGUCUGAUCAGGUUCUCUCUCCCUGUCUCCCUCUCUCUUUGUCUCUCUUUGCUUCUGUCCCUUCUGUGCAGAGACCAUGGUUUAACAUGUAAACUCCAACAAAUUGUAUUUUGUAAAUUUUGGGUACCAAAUAAAUAGUUGUCAAAAUGAAUGAAUGAAUUUCUCAUGACAUUCAUCCUAUUCCAGCUUUCUUUACGGAUUACAAAAUCAACGAUAUUCUGUGGAUCUAUAUUAUAUUCCUUUGAUGAUCAUCAAUGCUUAAAAUAUUAUCUAAAGAACUCCAUAUUAAUACAAUGCAAA
rnacentral:lncRNA from 1 species